rnacentral:rRNA from 1 species
UACGAACCGUACGAACGUUAUUCGGAAUUACUGGGCUUAAAGGGUGCGUAGGCUGUGCGGAAAGUUGGGCGUGAAAUACCUCAGCUUAACUGAGGAACUGCGUUCAAAACUACCGUGCUUGAGGGAGACAGAGGUAAGCGGAACUGAGGGUGGAGCGGUGAAAUGCGUUGAUAUCCUCAGGAACACCGGUGGCGAAAGCGGCUUACUGGGUCUCUUCUGACGCUGAUGCACGAAAGCUAGGGUAGCAAACGGG